rnacentral:lncRNA from 1 species
AUGUCCACCAUGAGAGAGGAGGCUGCCCUAGAAUUCAUAAUCCUGAAGAGGGUGUCCCCAACGAUGCCCAGCUUGGGUGGUGAGGGAGGGCACAGUGGCUACAAAGUGAAGUGCCUGGAACAUAAUGGGUAUCGACGCUGGUGGCAGUUGGGUUUGGUCCAGUGUAACUGGGGCAUCUCUGUGUGUGGGGAGCAUCUGUGCAAUGGGAUCAUCUGUGCAGUGGGAGCCUCCCUAUGUGAUGGGAGCCUCUCAGUGUGUGGGGAGCAUCUAUGCAAUGGGAGUAUGUGUGCUGUGGGAUCAUCCCUAUAUGAUGGGAGCUUGCUGUGCUGUGGGAGCAUCUGUGCAGCGGGCUCAUCCCCGUAUGAUGGGAGCCUCGCUGCGCUGUGGGAGCGUCUAUGCAGUGGGAUCGUCCCCAUAUCAUGGGAGCCUCGCUGUGCUGUGGGAGCAUCUGUGCAGUGGGAUCGUCCCCGUAUGAUGGGAGCCUCGCUGUGCUGUGGGAGCAUCUGUGCAGUGGGAUCGUGCCCCUAUGAUGGGAGCCUCGCUGUGCUGUGGGAGCGUCUGUGCAGUGGGAUCGUCCCCGUAUGAUGGGAGCCUCGCUGUGCUGAGGGAGCAUCUGGGCAGUGGGAGCCUCCCCAUAUGUUGGGAGCCUUCCCUGUGAGGUGGCUGCAAUGCUGCCGGUUUCCCAUCAGGCCCACUGUCGUGUGGGGUGAUUUGGGACACUGUUCCUGGAAGUGGGCUUGGCUCAUCCACCUCAUGACAGCUCUAGGAGCUCGCAACAUUCUUCAGUAAACUCCUUCUCUGCAUGAUCAUUGGCAUCUGCCUCGGCUGCUUGCAAAUAAGAGCCUGCCUGAUCCCACAUCCUCAUAUUUGAUGCUCCCCUGGCCUCUUCCCCCACCAAACACAGGCUGACAUGAAUCCCCAUAGUGAGGAGAGAAAUGUCAGCAUGAGAAAUUCCUCUUGCAGAUGAUGUCGAUGAUAGUUUACAUUUUUAUAGCUUUUUACAGCCUGUGAGAGCAGUUCUGAGCUCUCUGCAAACACAUCAGUCAAUGAGGAGAAGGGUUCUUGGGGGUAAAACCACCCGUUUAUUAUUAAGCCAUUAUUACCUUCAGGUCAAAAACCAUUAAGUAGGCGUCUGCCCGAUGCUUGUCACCUGCACAGAGCUCCUUUGUCAGAGAUGUCUGGUGUCUGGAGUUUACAAUCUAAUAGCCCUGCUCUGCAUGUGAGUCCACCUUGCACAGACAGGCAAAGAAACAGCACCGGUCACUGAUUUCAUAGCUGGGGAAGAUCCCAGCUAUAGAUCGGGAAACUGAGGACAGGGUGACCUGCGCAAUGUCACACAGUGCCCAACUUAGGAUCAGACCCUGGAGGUCCUGGCUCUGCCCAUGAGGGGUGUAUAACAUACAUAAAUAUAUACAACGAAAUAUCCCAUGCCAGCCUUCUCCCCACUCACGGACUGUGUGAUUCUAGAGUACUGGGAAAAAGGGUGUAGCGUCAAGUCAAACCUGGUUGUGCCAAGCAACAAGCAUCUCCCAAUCACAGGGGCCUCCACCACCGUAGCCAUGCCGCACGUCUGCCUGCUGGAGCAGGCUUGCCUGGGACACUGCCAACCACUGUGGCAGAGGGAAGGACAGCCCUGGAGGGGUCUCUGUCUGGCAAUGAAAUACUCCAGCUCUAAAGUGCCCUGCAUCACUUCCACUUAGAACUCACUGGCCAGGGCUGGUCACAUCGCCACCCCCAACUACACAGGGACCAGGAAGAGCAUCAUGGUUCUUAGGGGCUCAUCUCCAGUCUGUGCCAGUUGCAUCCCUGAGGCUCCCGUGCCUCAGCGGCCUCCCUAUUCCUCCCAGCAUUUCUGAGGCUACUGCCUGCUUUACCGCUGGACACUCCUGGAGUUGGGGACCACGGUCCCCCUGAUGGAGUGCUGUGUCCCUCCACUCCAGUCUCAGUAGAGAGACCAAGAUGAUCAGGUCAUGCUCCCGAGGAAAGCAGCUACAGGGGACUCCAAGGAAGAAAGGAGUCUUCCUCUCCCCUUUCCUUCCUUCUCUAUCUUUCCUUCUUUCCUUUUCUUUUCUCCUUCCUCCCUCCCUUCCUUCUCUCCCUUUCCCUUCCUUUCCCUCCCUUCCUCCCUUCCUCCCUCCCUCCCUUCCUUAUUAAAAAAAAAUUAGCCAGGUGUGGUGGCACGUGUCUGCAGUCCCAACUACUCUGGAGGCUGAGGUGUGAGGAUCACUUGAGUCCGGGAGGUUGAGGCUGCAGUGAGCCGUGAUUGUGAUUAUGCCACUGCAUUGUAGCCUGGGCAACAGAGAGAGACCCUGUCCCCACCGCAAAAAAAAAAAAAAAAAAAAAAAAAAAUGACCUAUAAAUAAGACUUCUGGGUCGGCCGGGCAGGUGGCUCACGCCUGUAACCCCAGCACUUUGGGAGGCCUAGGCAGGUGGAUCACGAGGUCAAGAGAUUGAGACCAUCCUGGCCAACAUGGUGAAACCCUGUCUCUACUAAAAAUACAAAAAUUAGCUGGGUGUGGUGGCAGGCGCCUACAGUCCCAGCUACUUGGGAGGCUGAGGCAGGAGAAUCGCUUGAACCCGGGAGGUGGAGGCUGCAGUGAGCUGAGAUGGCGGCUCUGCACUCCAGCCUGGGCGACAGAGUGAGACUCUUAUCUCAAAAAAAAAAAAAAAAAAAAAAAAAAAAAAAGGCUUCUGGGUCUAUACCUAAAAGAAUUGGAAGCAGGAUCUCAAAAAGAUAUUUGCACACUCGUGUUCAUAGCCACAUUCUUCACAACAGUCAAAAGGUGGAAGCUAGCUUCCUGCCCUCCCUUCCCUCCUUUGCUCCCCUCUCCUCCUUUCUUCUCUCCCCUUCCUUGUGUGUUUACUGUGGUAAAAUACACACAAUCAAAUGUGCAGUUCAGUAGUGUUAAGUAACAUUCAUGUUGCUGUGCAAUCUCCAGAACUCUAUUUAUCUUGCAAAAUUAAACUCGAAUCCCAUCAACGACUCCUUAAACCCCCCUCCAGGGCCUGCCGACCACCACUCUACUUUCUGUCCCUACGGAUUUGCUUAUUCUGAACAUUUUGGAAUGGAAUCAUCCAGGAUGUGGUCUUUGCUGGCUGGCUUCUUUCACUUCACAUCAGGUUUUUAAGUCUUAUUCAUGUUGUAGCAUGUAUCAGGACUUCAUUAUUAUUAUUAUUUGGACUUCAUUCUUUGAGGCUGAGGAAUAUUCGCUUGCAUGGAUGACCACAUUGCGUAUCCAUUCAGCUCACGAUGGACCCUUGGUGGCUUCUACCUUUUGGUGGUUGUGAAGAACGUCGCUACGAACAACACGGGUGUGCACAUAUCUCUUUGAGAUCCUGCUUCCAAGUUUUUGGGUGUAGACCCAGAAGUCAUAAUUAUAGGUUUUUUGUUUUUUUUUUUUUUUUUUUUUUUUUGCAGCAGGGACAGGGUCUCGCUGUGUUAGCCAGGCUGCAGUGCAGCGGUGUGGUCAUAGUUCACUGCAGCCCACCCCGUGUGCCCUCCCAGACUCAUGUGAUCCUCCCAUAUCGGCCUCGGGUACUGGGACUACAGGAACGUGCCACCACACUUGGCUAAUUUUACAAUUUUUUUAAAGAGACAGAGUUUCACCCUGUUGCCCAGGCUGAUUUCCAACUCCUGAGCUCAAGCAAUCCACCCACCUUACCCUCUUAAAGUGCUAGGUCUACAGGUGUGAGCCACCAUGCCUGGCUGUAAGCUAUUACUUUCAUGGUCAAAUGGAAAAUGACAAAUGGGUCCACGCUUAUUGUGGGCACCCCUUUAGCCUACACGCUUCCCAGUCCCUCUCUCUUCUUCGGAAGUCUUCCCUCCUCUGGGAGGGGCUUCGGCUGCGGGCCUCUCCACCUUUGGGACUCCUCCUCUUCCUCUCCCCAGGGCCGGCACAUCCAGAGAGCACAUUCGCCCCCUACCUCGUGAUUCCUGGGCCACAGCCCACCCAGCAGCACCUUCCUGAAACGGAGCUAGUCCUUCUAGAGAUGAACACCAUGGGGUGCAAAGUGAGUGCUUGAGAGGGCACACGGGGUGGGCACCAGCACUCCAAUGGACCCACCUCUGAGACCUCCUGCCAGGGCUUAGCUGCUGUGUGGUGUAUACUUGCACACACACACAGACACACAUGCACACACAUACACACCCACCCACUUGCACACACACACACACCAC